rnacentral:rRNA from 1 species
AUACGGGGGGUGCAAGCGUUAUUCGGAUUUACUGGGCGUAAAGCGCGCGCAGGCGGUUUUGUAAGUCAGAUGUGAAAGCCCUGGGCUCAACCCGGGAAGUGCACCUGAUACUGCAAGACUUGAGUAUGGGAGAGGGAAGUGGAAUUCCUGGUGUAGAGGUGAAAUUCGUAGAUAUCAGGAGGAACAUCGGUGGCGAAGGCGACUUCCUGGACCAAUACUGACGCUGAGGCGCGAAGGCGUGAGGAGC